rnacentral:rRNA from 1 species
ACGUAGGGUGCAAGCGUUAAUCGGAAUUACUGGGCGUAAAGCGUGCGCAGGCGGUUCCAUAAGACAGAUGUGAAAUCCCCGGGCUCAACCUGGGAACUGCAUUUGUGACUGUGGGGCUAGAGUACGGUAGAGGGGGAUGGAAUUCCGCGUGUAGCAGUGAAAUGCGUAGAUAUGCGGAGGAACACCAAUGGCGAAGGCAAUCCCCUGGACCUGUACUGACGCUCAUGCACGAAAGCGUGGGGAGCAAACAGGAUUAGAUACCCUGGUAGUCCACGCCCUAAACGAUGUCAACUGGUUGUUGGGAGGGUUUCUUCUCAGUAACGAAGCUAACGCGUGAAGUUGACCGCCUGGGGAGUACGGCCGCAAGGUUG